rnacentral:tRNA from 1 species
UGGGGUGUAGCUCAGUAGGUAGAGCGUCUCUUGGUUUUAUCGCGACCUGUUUCUGAAAAAUAGAACAAUUGGCCCACAAAGGCCCGCGCGGUAAUCAAGAGGAGGUCGCGGGUUCGAAUCCCGUCACUCCAG